rnacentral:piRNA from 1 species
ACUGACUCAGACUGGAUGGUAAG